rnacentral:lncRNA from 1 species
UUUUUUUUUUUUUGGUGUAUUGAUUACCAUUUGUAUAAAAACAGUUUUACUAUAAAUACCACAGUUAAACUAUGGUUAGUGUAGCAAAGCCAUGGUUAAUUUGUGGUUAACAUGGUUUAACCAUGUUUUUUUUUUUUUUUUUUUUUUUAUUUAUAGUAAAACCAUGGUUAAUUUGGGGUAUUACUAUUAAAUACGUCCAAAAACAUGGUACUAUCAUGGUAUAUGUCUAAACACAUGGUACUAUUAUGGUAUUCGUCCAAAUAACACCGUCGUAGUUUUCAGUCACUGUAACCGGGCACAUCACGGACCUCGGGAUUAAAAACACAUUAUUCGUUUACCGUUUUUCGGGUUUUCUGUUAGAAGAUAACUACGUUUUUGCUGCUAACCUGAUUUAAAAAAACAAACUAAUCCAGAGUCAGUUGCUAAUGUUAUUCGUGUCCUGGAGAAAGUGUUUAAGUGUGACGCGCUCACGUGCACGCGCGCUCCGUGACAGGCGCAAAGGUCGCGCGACGAACACAUUAAACUGAUAUCAUAUCUAUAUAAACUCUGCACCAGAGUGAAUCUCUCUUACCCAUGUCCCUGAUUUCCACAUUGGUGUCGAAUAGAGAUGGAUUCUUCCGACCCAGGAAAUUGAACGUUCCUUUCUUCAUGUUAACGAGUAUUUCAUCCACAGAGACUGAGAUCAGAGUGAUUUCAUGAUUUCAUGAUUUCAGUGCUAUAGCAGCAGCUGACUGUGAGCUCGAAACCGGCACUGAUUCAGAGAAACACUGAGGAGGAGGAAAUGAUCCCACACCUGAACCGGCCCUGACCCCGCCCACUCUGACAGAUAACUUCAUGGUGCUCAGAAUCCUUGCACUCCUGAGGAAUAAAGCGAAUCAGAGAGUUGUCAUGGCGAUUGAAGAAUGUUCAGAAUGUGUGGCAGUUCCUGCGCUCAGCUGCUUGAGUUUCUCUGGAACGCUUCACACAUGCUUCAGAUGAUUUAUG